UUCUUUAUGGUGGUCAAAUCUUGCAUCUCAUUUCCCUAUCGUCCAUUCUCUCUCCUCCUCCUCCUCCUCCUCCUCUCUCUAUAUAUAUCUUCAUCCCGUCCUUCCUUUUAAUUAAUGUCUAAGUUAUCCUUUGAGUGACGUUCUUUCUGGCGGUCAAAUCUUGCAUCCAAUUUCCUAUCGUCCAUUCUCUCUCUUCCUCCUCUUCUGUCUAUCUUCAUCCCUUCCUUCCUUUUAAGUAAUGUCUAAGUUAUCUUUCGCUCAAGGUUCCUUCCAGUGUGUUUGUGGUGUCCGGCUCUGCUUGCUAGUUAGUUUUGUCACUGUAUAAUUGUCAAUCCUAGCUAGUUUUGUCACUGUAUAAUUGUCAGUCCUAGUUUGCUUUGUCCCUGUAUAAUUGUCCGUCCCAGCCAGGCGCCUCUUCCAUGUAAAGAUAUCGGCAGCUUCAAGCCUUGCCGAUAUCUCAAUCCGUACGUGAAUGUAAAUUAACCGAAAUCCUUGUUACUAAGCCCUGCACGGUGCUCUCUCACAUAAUGCUUCUUUAAAUUUUCAGUCUCACUUAAUUUCCGGGGUUAGUAAUAUAUUUUGCCAUAAGUUAACUCCCCGUGAUGGCCAGUUUCAUGUACUAUAUAUAAGUAAUUUGCCUUUUGCAUGGCUAUAAUUCUGCAUCCUUGUCUAAGGCCCAGUUUCACAGUUCCUCAUGAUGGGUUAGUAAGCUCCGAAACCAAUACCAGAGCCUUCGAAAUUUCCUUGUACGGUGUCUGGAGUUUAUAUUCAAGUUCACAAAUUUGACGAGACUAUACAGGAAAGGUCUUGUGUGUUUAUGCUACGAAGGAAAGGGAGGAGAAGGGAGAUGAGAUUAGGAGACGAGUGAGCCGAGAUCCUGUUUAUAUUCAAGUUCACAAAUUUGACAAGACUAUACAGGAAAGGUCUUGUGUGUUUAUGCUACGAAGGAAAGGGAGGAGAAGGGAGAUGAGAUUAGGAGACGAGUGAGCCGAGAUCCUGUUUAUAUUCAAGUUCACAAAUUUGACAAGACUAUACAGGAAAAGCUCUCUGUUUAUGAUAUGAAGGAAAGGGAAGAGAAGGGAGAUGAGUAAGCUGAGAUCCUGUUUUUAUUCAAGUCCACAAAUUUGACGACACAAUACAGGAAAAGCUCUUUGUAUUUAGUGUGUCAUCGAAGACCGUGCCAUUUUGAACAGUAUGGGAUUCUAUAGCUUGGUUCGGGAGUGUUACAAAGACUGUGAUGGACUGUGGAAGCGGCCCUUAAUGUUCCCUUUUCUAAUAUGCCUCUCUGUUUUUGCAGGAUGCCGCGGACGGACCAUGCAGAGGACUCAUCGCGACGACACCAACGGUUUGGUUAAGUGGGUUCUUUUGUGUGUGCGUCUGUGUGUGAAUGGCAGGCCUGUCGUAUGAUUGUGUGUGUGUGUGCGUUGGCGUUAUGCCUUCGCACUAUUAUUUUGUUAGGAUGUAUUUUUUUGUGUGUGAACUUUUUGCACGUAAUCUUUUUUUAUACCCAUAGCUAGCGUUUGUUUGUGUGGCAGUGUUCCGGGAGAUGGACGCCGGGGGACAUGGGCUUGGGGAGGCGCACAUGACCUCCUCUGUCCGUGACCUCUUCAGCUGGGGAGACCGCGUGUUGCCCCGCCUGGAGAGACACGUUGAUGGAGGUGGCCGUGUGUGUCACCCUUUGCCUGUAUCCUCUGGCGUCCAGAGGCGCGUAAGCGGAGAGCAUCGGCGCAGCGCGGGAGCAGCACGUCAGGGUGUAGGGUGUUUGUUUAGCUGGUGUAGGGUGUUAGGGUGUUAGGUGUAACAACGGUUGGCUCUUUCACAGAACGGGUGUGACUCCGUUCUGCGUUUGAGUCUUCCACCUUCAGACGGUCUCCCUCCGAGAUGUCUGAAGUUUUUUUUGUCGGUUUUCUCCGUAGGAGGAAGCCGACUCUAGCUACUCUGGCCUCUCUUCCGGGGGUCAGAGCGGUCGGGCUCUGCUUGGCCAGGCGUUAGUCUUUCGCGUUGUCUCCGCCGACGUUUUGCCAGACUCUUCCGUAAGGUUGAGCCUGGCUUUUUUAUUAGGUGGAUCAGGCUGCCUUCUUCCAAGGAGUCUGAUGGGAGUGGAGUCUUUUUUUUGGUGUAUGUCUGUGGGUGCUCAGUGGGUAAGGGAGGGUGGGGUAGAAUGGUUGGUGGGCUGGAAGUGGGUUGGGGGAUGAGCCUCCUGGGAUUUGGGUUGUGUCGAGCCUUACCGCCUGGUGUGUUGGGUAACCUUCACGCCAGGGGGGGGGUGCCAAGACUAUAUCCAUCUCCUGGGCAGGGCGAUUCCCCUUUCCCAUGCCAACUGGCCCUCCUCCG